CAGCUGAUCCUCCAGUGAACUCACAAGGUUUAUAGUGGUGUGAGUUCAACACUGCAGGACUCACAUGUGUCAGUCAACACAGCAGGAAGCACAAGCAGCAUGACUCUCAUCACCAUCCUCAUCUGGACGCUGCUCUGCUGCUGCUUUACAGGAUGCAGUGGUCAGGUGACGGUGACUCAGCCUCCAGUGGAGACGUUCACUGCAGGAUCCACUGUGACGCUCACCUGUAAAACCAACAGAGAUGUUUAUAAGUGGAGUGAUGAUAAACAGUCUAUGUCUUGGUACCAACAGAAACCUGGUCAGAGCCCAAAGCGCCUGAUAUAUUUAGUGAACAGGCUGCAGUCAGGGACACCAGAUCGGUUUAGUGGCAGUGGAAGCGGCUCUGACUUCACUUUGACCAUCAGAGGAGCUCAGGCUGAAGAUGCUGCAGUUUAUUACUGUCAGAGUUACCAUGGUAGUAUUCUGUUCACACAGUGAUUUAGCGCCGUACAAAAACCUCCUCAGUCAGAGACACUGAGCUGUUACAGCAGGAACCAACUGCAGCUGCUGAAGAGGAACAAACUCUGACACAGACACUGAACUCAGACCUGAAACUAACCUCAACAAACACCAAUGUGUUGUCAUUGUGCCAUUUAAAAACACAAACAGGAAUUUUAAACAAUACUUUAUCUA